rnacentral:lncRNA from 1 species
UGCAAUAUGCUAAUGUCAUGAUAUAUAACUAAAAGGUCUACAUUCUCAUUUAAAUUUAAAACCAAAAUGUAUCAACCAUUCAAAAUAUAUCCCAAUAAUACCAUUCGUUUACAGUUUCAAAUUACUACAUCCACAAAAUAUAUACCAAACUAUCCAUAUAUACAUCUCAAAUUUACUUUUCAAUCCACAAAAUAAACCACAAAAGUGCAUAUCCCUCUGAACAACUGCCUCUCUGCUUUCCUCUCCCCCGGCCACACACCACUUGGGAUCCAAAGUAAACUGUUAAUCAAGAUGAUGCAAGGAAAUUGGUGAAUUUCAAACUUAUGAACAUAAGUCAAAACAACAAAAAUCACAGUUGCUCAUUGUUGGGUCAUAAUAUUUCUCCUAUCUUGGGCCGGAUAGAUUGGGCCCAUUUAUCAGUAUAAUCUAUUGGGCUUUUAUUAUUAAG